UACGGAGGGGGCGAGCGUUGUCCGAAGUUACUGGGCGUAAAGCGCGCGUAGGCGGGUUGGUAAGUCCGCUGUGAAAGCCCGGAGCUUAACUCCGGAGGGUCGGUGGAUACUGCCAGUCUUGAAGGUGCUAGGGGGAGAUGGAAUUACCGGUGUAGCGGUGAAAUGCGUAGAUAUCUGGAGGAACACCGGUGGCGAAGGCGGCAUCCUGGACCGGCAUUGACGCUGAGGCGCGAAAGCCAGGGGAGCAAAGCGGGAU
rnacentral:rRNA from 1 species